CUUAAAUGGUGUUGCUGAGAGGUUGCUGUUUGCUUUCAUGUAAUCUGAAGAUCCUCUUUGACCCCUGAUAGGCGAAGUGGUACCUCGGUGUGUCGUCAUGUCUUGGCUGUAGGAUGAAGGCUCAACGAAGAUGAGGCAGAGCAUGAUCUAAGAGGAGGCCUGCAGUAUACUGGGAGAAAAAGGAGGCAACUGUGGGAAGCAGUGGACAUGGGAACAAAUCCAGCUUCAGUGGAAACAGGCUUUCUCAACUCUGUGCCGAUGGACCCCCUUGGUACACGUCUUCACUUGGCUAUCCCAAUGCUGAGUGUCAAAAUACCUGUAACUUAUGUCUGUGCCUUGUCCAUUGUUGGCACGUGUUGGCAUGAAUGUGUACACUGUACAAGUCUGGCUAUGAAAAUAGCAAAGAUCUCUGUGGAAAACCUGUAGACACGUUUGAUCUCUUGAGCAAUGUCAGAGAUGCUGCAGAGGCCCAGAGUGACCAAUGUGCAUAUACAUUUCAUACACUACUGCUUUAAAAGGUGAUCAAAACUCUUGCCAUCCAAACACAGAAAGCAACAGUCAAAUCAAAACCAGCCCUUACUGCAGACACUGACUCUUACUGCAUGGGGGCACUUGACAUUUUCUGCGGACUUAGUCAUUUGUAGCAUUUUCCAAGUUGGGGAUGUGAUCAGCUUCCGCUUGUGAAUACCUCAGCAAGCAAUCACUUGUUAUUUCUCAUAUCCCAAGGAAGCUGUUAGCUUAGAGGCAGAGAUGAUAGAUUUUUAUCAUGCCCUGGCAAACCACUGAAGAGUGAGGAAAGGAACAGUUAAGUCAUUAGCUACUCGCCCUAGUCAUCAGUUCCUCUUAACUUCACAUGCUUUUUUCUGCUGUCUUCCAGUCCAAGUGUUAGCCCUCAUCUGGAGAGGCUGAUAAAUACCCUUGGACUCCGCACUUGUUUCAUGACUAAUCCAGGGUGAGCAGACUCAAAUGCAACGCUUGGGGAUUUGUGAGAGACCUCUAUGUAUUGGGUUGCUUAAGUAAGACACAAAAGCAUAUUGGAUCUGCUGAAUGUGAAAACAAAGGAAAAACCACCACUUUUUUGGCAAGGUUUUCCUAGGAAGAGGAAUGCAUGCAGUGUUGAAGUUAGUGGUUGUCAACGCAUUUUUAAGCGUAGUGGAAUUGUGGUUUUUUUUUUUUUCUGGUCUGCUGCAUGUUUGGCCCACCUGACUGUGGGAGGAGGUCCGAGGUCCCCACUGUGCCUUGGUAAAAGAGACACCAGCUACCCCAAGCCGCCUCGGCAGGAACCUCCUUCUCGUCAUACGUUUUUCUCCUGUCUCUGUUACUUUUCCCAAGAGGACUGAAUUGUGCUGAAUCUAAGGUGAAAUAGUCUUGUGCGGAGAAGGAUUCACCUGGAGGAACCCCAAGCGGCAGGGAUGGUGAGAGGAAGUAGACACUGAGCACUCUUGUGAAUAUUCUGUGAUAGCAAAUAAAAGCUCAAAGUAUGAGUUGUAUAGAGAAUUU
ensembl:lncRNA